UGGGGAAUAUUGCACAAUGGGCGCAAGCCUGAUGCAGCGACGCCGCGUGAGGGAUGACGGCCUUCGGGUUGUAAACCUCUUUCAGUAGGGAAGAAGCGAAAGUGACGGUACCUGCAGAAGAAGCGCCGGCUAACUACGUGCCAGCAGCCGCGGUAAUACGUAGGGCGCAAGCGUUAUCCGKAUUUAUUGGGCGUAAAGAGSUGGUMGGCGGUUUGUCGCGUCUAUCGUGAAARUCYGAGGCUCAACCUCGGAUCUGCGGYGGGUACGGGCAGACUAGAGUGAUGUAGGGGAGACUGGAAUUCCUGGUGUAGCGGYGAAAUGCGCAGAUAUCAGGAGGAACACCGAUGGCGAAGGCAGGUCUCUGGGCAUYUACUGACGCUGAGGAGCGAAAGCAUGGGGAGSGAACAGGAUUAGAUACCCUSGUAGUCCWUSCCGUAAACGUUGGGCACUAGGUGUGGGGGACAUUCCACGUUUCCGCGCCGUAGCUAACGCAUAAGC
rnacentral:rRNA from 1 species